rnacentral:sRNA from 1 species
CCAAGGGCAAGUGCUAGAGUUGCAGUGAAUUUAGAGCAAAGCCUCAGCUAAGUGACACAUCCCAGGGCAGUAGGGGAUCUAUCUAGGUUCGUGCUGGGCCUCAGGUAAGUGACAGGCCUUAGGACAAUGGGGGCUGUGGCAUGCGUCAGGUUACCUGCCUUGAUAUGGGAUCGUGACAGGCCCCUCCCUAUGUGCAGGAGACAAGCAGCCCAAGAAACAGGAGAAAAACCCAGUGUUGGUGUCCCCAGAGUUUGUGGAUGAAGCUCUGUGUGCGUGCGAGGAGUACCUUAGCAACUUGGCCCACAUGGACAUCGACAAGGACCUGGAGGCCCCACUGUACCUCACCCCCAAGGGCUGGUCCCUCUUCCUCCAGCGCUACUACCAAGUGGUCCAGUGAGUCCCCUGCAGCUGGGACUUUGGGCUGUGGGCAGGUGCUUAGGGAUAGACCCUUUCUGUCUCGUGCAGCCCCUACCCCUUCCCCAAGCCUCCCGCUCGUUUACCCCGCUGUUCUGCUCAGGAACCCUCAAGGACUCCCACUGCCUCCAUGAUAGGGUCUGGGCCGCUUUUCUUGGUUCUUGGCAUAGCAUAGUCACUAAGAGCAUGGACUGUGCCACCAAAUGGACAGCACAUUACCCAAAGUGUGUGUUGUGUGGAUGUUAAUUCUACAGGAAGUAAAUAGAUUUUAUGAAAAAA